GGGGGGGUCCCCGUUUCAGCUCCACGAGGCUCUGCGGGGGCUGCGGGGGGAGAACGCGCGGCUCGAGGGGACCCUGAGGAACCUCAGCAGAGCUCUGGGGCAGCUGCGAACGCGCCUGCGCGACCCCCCCGACCUGACCUGGACACAGGAGCCCCCCCCCCCCCGAACAGCCCCCCCACUGCUUUAGGGGGGGCCCCUCCAGCCCCGCCCCCGCACUGACCCCCCCUCAUUUGGGGGGGCUCCUGUUGGGGGGGGCAGCUCUGCGGCGGCUGCUGCUCUGAGACACCCCAGCAAUGGAUUCUGCCCCACAGCGAUGGAUUCUGCCCCACAGUGAUGGAUUCUGCCCCACAGCAACGCUGCCCCACAUCCACCUGAUCCUACGUCACUGCCCCACAGCGAUGCUGCCCCACAUGGAUCCUGCCCCAUAGCAAUCCUGCUGCCCCAUAGCGAUCCUGCCCCAUAGCAACACUGCCCCACAUGAAUUCUGCCCCACAUGAAUUCUGCCCCACAGCGAUGCUGCCCCACAGUGACUCUGCCCCACAGUGCUUCUGCCCCAUAGCAGCACUGCCCCAUAGCGAUGCUGCCCCACAGCAAUGCUGCCCCACAGCGAUGCUGCCCCAUAGCGGCACUGCCCCAUAGCGAUGCUGCCCCAUAGCAGCGCUGCCCCACAGCGAUGCUGCCCCAUAGCGGCGCUUCCCCAUAGCAGCACUGCCCCAUAGCGG